AGAGAGAGAGAGAGAGAGAAUAGCGACGAAUGGUAACCAACCCACACACUACCACCACCAUCACCACCACCACCACCACCACCACCAUCACAACCACUCACUCAGUCUUCAGGCGCCCACGCUCGAGAACACACGCACACACACACUCAUACACGCACACACACGCACAUACACACACACGCACACACUCACAGCCACUCCCCCACGCCCUCUGGACAAGGCGCGGGCGUGUAGUGGCUCUUAAAACGCGUGUGUGUGUCUUUGUGCGUGUCUUUUGCUAAUACGUACACACACGUACAUGAGUGAGUUCUGUGUGCGUUUUUCCGGUGCUGUGUGCGUGUGCGUAAAUGCGCGGCGUGUUUUUGCGUGUGUGCGUGCGUUUGUAGGCCUGUGAGUGUGUUUUUUGCGUGUGUUAGUGUGGAUAAAGUCACUCACCCCGACAGCUGUGAGGGAAAGUUAAAAAUUAUCAACAGAAAACGAUCAAUUAUUGAAAAAAAAACGAUAAAUUUUGAACAGAAAACGAGAAAUUAUUGAAAAAACGAUAAAUUAUUGAAAAAAAACGAUCAAUUACUGAAAAAAACGAGAAAUUAUUGAAAAAACGAGAAAUUAUUGAAAAAACGAUAACUUAUGAACAGAAAACGAUAAAUUAUUGAAAAAAACGAAAAUUUUUGAACAGAAAACGAUAAAUUAUGAACAGAAAACGAUAAAUUAUGAACAGAAAACGAUAAAUUAU